UGUUUGAUUAUGUGAAAAUUAGUGCCUCUGUUUGGGACCUUCCUAUUCUUUUCUUCCAGUAUCCAUUUAAAUCUCGUAGAGUGGGACUCCACCUCCAGCAACCAAAAUCUAACUGUACAGCAGGAGUGCUUAUCAGGCAGUGCCUCUCCAUCAGCCUUCUCAUUUCAUUGCAGACAGAUAAAAAAAUAUUAUGAGGAUAGUAUCAUCCUUUCACUCAAUCAAUGUAGGUGCACUACAGGGUUAUUUCAGCAACUGCUUUUUUCCAGACAUACUAUUCUCCUCUGUGAUUUCAGAGAACCAGUGAACUAGCAGCACAUGCCUUUCCACAGGUGCAAAACCAUUACAAAAGCAUUUUGUCUAGUUAGUUAUCAUUUUACCCCAUCAGCAAGGUGAAUUUUAUUCCUGCUUUAACAAACCUCAACAAACCCUGUCAUCAUUUUGGGUUUAUUGGAAAGGUAUCCUGAGAAUACACUGAAAGAUAAUUCUGGUCUAACAAAUUAUUUAGUUGGUUUUAUUUAGGAAUAUAUUGGGAAAUUAUGGCAAAACUAAGAUUUGAGUCUGGGUCUCCAAGUGCUUCUACUAUUCCUAAUGGGACUCACUGGAUUGCCUCCUAAUAAGUUUUUUCUUCGAAAAAAUCUAUUGCUUACUUGAGGAAUCUUAAAUGCUCAAAAGCCCAAGAAUUGAUUUGUUUAUUUUUUAACUAAAUUGGCAAGUGCAUUUUUCAGGAGUUGAUGUAUGCCCAUUCAUACUGAGAAAGGCCUUGACAAUUAGCAUUUAUCUUUAGCUACGCAGAGCUGAAUGAUGGCACUGACAUGAAUUUUAAAGUCUCCAUUUCUCAGAGUGUGGCUCUUCCUACCAUUCUCAGCUUGGCUGGAACUGCAGGAGGACCAGUCAGGAUGCCCUAUAAACCAAGAGCAAGACAAGCACACAUCCCCCUGCUGGCACAGGUGCCUCCAAGCAGUUCCCCGAUCUCAUACAGGCUGGAACACUGGAGGAAUUCCUUCCUGAAAUAAGAGACUACCUAAGCACUUCUGUUUAAAAAAAUUACAAUAAACACGGGCAAAUGCAUGCCAGGUAAAAUAAUUCUGAAGGGUUUUAACUAUCACAUUGUUGUUUGGUGACCAGGAGUUUGUCAAGCAAAGGUGACAGACACCAUCCACUCACCCCAGCUGAGGUAAGAAACAAGUCAUCAAUAUGACACAGUGACAAGGCCCUCUGUCUCUCUCUUGCCUUGCUGGUCUGCCAUUGCAUAUCUUUAAUGCAGCAGGAACUCUGGCAUCCCAAAAAUCCUCCUCUCCUAGGCAACAAACUGUCUGAAUCAUUGACAUUUCUUUGGGGUUUUUUCAUUCAUUCUCCAUAACUGGCAGUUGCAUCUACUAAGUUAUCUUCUUCUGCAGCUUAUGAUUUUUUGAAGCAGACAAAGGGAUUUAGGAACUUAAACCUUCCUGCAACAGCAUAAGGGCAGAUUUUUACCAAAAUCAGCCAGGUUAGAAAAGGCACAUUAAGCACUUGCUCUGAUACAGCACAGUCUGGAUGACACAUCUGGGUGGCUCACAAGAGCUGAGAAGGUGUGUGGCAAUCUGUGGCAGGAUGAAAAUAGAGAUGAGUGAGGACAGAUCCCUUGAUUUAUUUUGGAAACACCACCAAAUUAAAUUUGUUAGUCAGUUAAAUUUGUUUCCUGGGAAGCCUGGCCAUACAUGGAACAGCCCACUGUUUUGCACCACCCUGCAGCCUGAAAGGAUGUGCCCGGAAUAGCACCUGUGAGCAGUGGUGUGGAGAACAGUGAGCCAGCCCACGGUAGACCCAUCCCUCUGUGGAGGGAAGAGAGUUUUUAGGAGCCACCUGUCCCCAGCGUGUUUCUCAUUUCAUGUUAAGUUUAUGUUUCUCAUUGGUAAUCUCCUUGGAACCCCCCUGAUCUAAAAGGGCAUAAAAGGUCAGUUUUUCUGUAAACCCCUUGGCAUUUGAUUACAGAUUUCUUGGGGCAAAGAGCUGGAUUAAAAGCCUCCAAGAGAUCAGAUACGAAGCCCCAUCUCUCUUUCCUCUGCAUUGCCCCAAAGAGCUGAUUUUCACUCACAACAGCCUUGCUAAAGGCUCAAAGCAGAAAUCAGAAUUGCAGCUAGGGAGAGGUGCAGGAUCUCUGCAUCCCACCGACUCCCCAGCUGUGAUACAGUGGCACAAGCAGAAGGCAGCAGUCCCAUACCUAGGACAUGUACUACCAAGGCAGCUCUUGUCUUUCUCCUGGGCGCCACUGGUGAGAAGUACCUAAAUGAGAUAUCCAUGCUGCAUUGCCAGACCUGUGUCCUUCAGAGAGGCCUGACAGAAUUUCACACUAUGUCCAGUGCUGUGUGAUGACUGCCCAAAUGUCCCUACUGGUGGCCUCAGCCACUUGUUUGGUGUAUUAAAUUCCAGCCUAACUCCUGAACAUCACCUCAAAGAACACAUCCCCCAGACUCAAAACUCAUUCCACUCCUGUGACAGCUGCAAAAGUUACAUUGGAGAAAAACAGUUCAGUAUGAGAAAGUACUGCAGUAAGUCUCUCUCUACAGUUUAUCAUUAGAAACAAGGAGGAAUGCAAGAGGCCAAACUGCUUUCUUGGGUGUUACAAUGGCCUCCCACAGCCCACUGUCACUGAAGCUCCUGUGCCUCCAAACUGCUCACUGUUCUUCUGCUGGAUAGCUCUAGGAGUCUCCAACCAAUGGGUACAUCUGACUUACAUAGAUAUAUUUCAGUUAUGUAUAAAAAGCCAAAUUCAUUACACAUCAAAGCAUGGCAGUUUUAACCUAACACUUCUAGUCUCUUCCCUACUUCUGCUGGCAAGACCACUGUAUUUUCUCAUACAUGUGAGGAAGCUUUCCUGAAUAGUAUCAGAGAGAAUGAAAUCCCUUUGUACAUCAUUCUCUGUAGGAUGCCCAAAUCACCAAGCUUGCAGUGAGUGAUCCAGUAGCUGGGGAGUAGCUGAGAGGAUUGAGUCUGUGCCUGCUCAGUGGGAGGCAUGAGGAUCUCCUCACAAGGCAUCAGCAGAUGGCUGGGUGCUGAAGGUAUCUCCCUGGUGACACCCACAGGAAACAGCUGGCAGAAACCUAGGGUGAGGGACAUUGCCUUACAAGAUGUCCAACACAAUUUAGCCACUUCUGGGCAUCUAGCAGGUCUUCACUGGGCUGUGAUAAUGGCACAGGACACUUGGAAGGCCACUGCUCCUCUACAGCAAUAACUGAAGUUCAGGCACCUCAAAUAGCACUAGUCCUUCUUCAUUUACACACUUGAAUCAUUCCUCUGCAAAACAAACUAAAAACAACUGAAAGAGCAGAUAACCACAAGAACUCAAGUUAUAGCUCUCCUGUCUGCAUUGUUAAAAUUAGAUUUAAGGGUUCAAUAAGUGAAUAUCAUGAUCUGAUAACAAUUAACAGAAAAAUACCAACCUAAAGAGCAGUGACACACCCUCCUUGCUCUGUUUACAAAUGUCACAGUCAUAUGAGAUAGCAGUCAAACAUAUCAGCAGACUAAAAAUAAACCACAUAAGAUAUAUUGAUAAAUAUUUAUUUCAAAACAAUAUAGCUUUUUACAUGACUAAUACAAUUUAAUAUGAUUUCAGACUGAGAAGAAAACAACUAAUGUUGAUUGUUUGCUAAUUGUCUUUGUAGGAGUGACAGGUAACAAACUACCAUUAGCUCUGGCGUUAUAUUCUCCUGGUAGAAAAUUUGAGUAGGUAGAUCAGUCAACACCAUCAUUGCUUUUAAUACACCAGUGAGGACUAAUGCAGUAUGCAACUAGAAGGACAUAGGUAUCAUCUUGGAAGAGGAGAAGCCAUUUACAUGCAAAGGGGUUUACCCUUCAUGACUGUGUGGGCUGUUUUCAUGCACCAGCCAACACAGCCUGAAAAUGUCUGCCUGGACCUUUAAGACAAUUUUAUUCCCAGUUAAAUCACCAUCCAACCCUUUUCACAAUAGCAUCUGCCGCUGAGCCACUGCUAAUUAGUCAGUCCCUGUUCAGUGAAGGAGGAAGAUAAGACAGCAAAGAUAACAUUUUUUUUAAAACAGCCCAAAACCCCCUGGUAAAGAUUGCAGCACUUUGUGACCUACACCAUGCUUGUCACAGGACAGGGAGAGGGAAUUUGCCUAUCACUACAUGUUGCAAUCGCUAUCAAAAUGUCUCUUUCUUCUUGCUUCCUCUCCACCCUUGUUCAGAAAGCUAAGGGGGACCAUGAAAGGAGCUGGCUAGGCUGAACAGAGCUGAUCACAGAGCAGAAAAUGCUGCUGAAAGAGCUGGUCACCUAAAACCCCUGCCCAUGCCCCUAAAGGUUACCCCUGGCUGGAGACUGCCAGGAAACCCCGGAUGGUGGCUCUCCCCCAGGAUGUUUAUCUGGCCUUGUUGUCAGCAGAAGCUGGGGGUCAGACAGGCCCCCAGGACCCAGCCUGCAACAAUGUGGCACCAGAACAGCUCCUGGAACCUCCACCUGAAGCCCAGGGGAUCAGAGCGUUGUCUCCACAGAGUACAGCUGUGGACCUGAUUUUCUGAGAGAGUUCCCAGCCUGUCAGUGGCUGGUCUGUUCCCAAGGGAAAGUCUCUUGAGAACAUUUUUUCUCAAGGACCAGUUUUGUAAAUAACUUCAUUUUUUCUCAAAACAAUUCUGUACAGCUGUGCUGAGUGUUUUUCUCUUGUUCCACCAAUGGGACGAGAGAGGUGGUGGUCCCUUUACCAGUCAUGUUAAAUGUGUAUCAUAACACCCCAUAAAGAAGCUGAAAAGUUCGGAAAAUAAACCUUCUGAUGAUUCGCGCU